GACGAACCGUGCGAACGUUGUUCAGAAUCACUGGGCUUAAAGGGCGCGUAGGCGGCUUGCCAAGUCGCGGGUGAAAUCUUUCGGCUUAACCGGAAAAGUGCCCGCGAUACUGGCCGGCUCGAGCGAGGUAGGGGCAGGGGGAACUUCCGGUGGAGCGGUGAAAUGCGUUGAUAUCGGAAGGAACGCCGGUGGCGAAAGCGCCCUGCUGGACCUCACCUGACGCUGAGACGCGGAAGCCAGGGGAGCAAACGGG
rnacentral:rRNA from 1 species